rnacentral:lncRNA from 1 species
GGGGGGGUGGCUAGGGUGAAAUUUGAAAAAAUAGGCAGGACAGGAGUUUUGAGUAAAAAAAAAGGCAGGAUGAGACACUUGCAAAAAAACAAAAGUCAGGACGACAAUUUAGGUAAAAAAAAGUCAGGAUAAACUAAAAAAAAAAAGGCAGGACCGAACAGAGUGAAAAAUAAAAAGGCAGGAUAGAGAUUACAGCUAAAAAAAAAUGCAGGACAAAAUUUUUCAUCCUAGCCCCCCAUAAAAAUCAAAUGGUAGCUCCCUUAUUUAAGAAUUGAAUGCUUCUUUUUGUAACUUCAUUGGGGUGUAAAAGCGUUGACCGAAGUACAUUUUGUAUGAAGCGCUUCCGCGCUUCAUACUAAAAAUGUGCGCACGGUCAACGCUUUUACAACCCUAUGAAGUUACAAAAAGAAGCAUUUAAUACUUAUAAUUACAUUUUCUUAGCAAUGAUCAUGAAAACACGAAUGUUCUUAUUGUUUUUUUUAAUUCACAUGUGCACUUUAUUGUGGGACCA